CGGGGUGCAGCAGGCGCGAAACCUCUGCAAUAGGCGAAAGCUUGACAGGGUUACUCUGAGUGACGUCCGUUAAGGACGUCUUUUGGCACCUCUAAAAAUGGUGCAGAAUAAGGGGUGGGCAAGUCUGGUGUCAGCCGCCGCGGUAAUACCAGCACCCCGAGUGGUCGGGACGAUUAUUGGGCCUAAAGCAUCCGUAGCCGGUUCUGCAAGUCUUCCGUUAAAUCCACCUGCUCAACAGAUGGGCCGCGGAGGAUACUACAGGGCUAGGAGGCGGGAGAGGCAAGCGGUACUCAGUGGGUAGGGGUAAAAUCCUCUGAUCCACUGAAGACCACCAGUGGCGAAGGCGGCUUGCCAGAACGCGCUCGACGGUGAGGGAUGAAAGCUGGGGGAGCAAACCGGAUUAGAUACCCGGGUAGUCCCAGCUGUAAACGAUGCAGACUCGGUGAUGGGUUGGCUUCGAGCCAACCCAGUGCCGCAGGGAAGCCGUUAAGUCUGCCGCCUGGGGAGUACGGUCGCAAGACUGAAACUUAAAGGAAUUGGCGGGGGA
rnacentral:rRNA from 1 species